AUUGAACGCUGGCGGCAUGCCUUACACAUGCAAGUCGAACGGCAGCACGGGUGCUUGCACCUGGUGGCGAGUGGCGAACGGGUGAGUAAUACAUCGGAACAUGUCCUGUAGUGGGGGAUAGCCCGGCGAAAGCCGGAUUAAUACCGCAUACGAUCCACGGAUGAAAGCGGGGGACCUUCGGGCCUCGCGCUAUCGGGUUGGCCGAUGGCUGAUUAGCUAGUUGGUGGGGUAAAGGCCUACCAAGGCGACGAUCAGUAGCUGGUCUGAGAGGACGACCAGCCACACUGGGACUGAGACACGGCCCAGACUCCUACGGGAGGCAGCAGUGGGGAAUUUUGGACAAAGGGCGAAAGCCUGAUCCAGCAAUGCCGCGUGUGUGAAGAAGGACUUCGGGUUGUAAAGCACUUUUGUCCGGAAAGAAAUCCUUGACUCUAAUACAGUCGGGGGAUGACGGUACCGGAAGAAUAAGCACCGGCUAACUACGUG
rnacentral:rRNA from 1 species